rnacentral:rRNA from 1 species
UACCUAGGUCCCGAGCGUUGUCCGGAUUUAUUGGGCGUAAAGCGAGCGCAGGUGGUUUAUUAAGUCUGGUGUAAAAGGCAGUGGCUCAACCAUUGUAUGCAUUGGAAACUGGUAGACUUGAGUGCAGCAGAGGAGAGUGGAAUUCCAUGUGUAGCGGUGAAAUGCGUAGAUAUAUGGAGGAACACCGGUGGCGAAAGCGGCUCUCUGGCCUGUAACUGACACUGAGGCUCGAAAGCGUGGGGAGCAAACAGG